rnacentral:rRNA from 1 species
UACGAAGGGGGCUAGCGUUGCUCGGAAUCACUGGGCGUAAAGCGCACGUAGGCGGAUUCCUAAGUCGGGGGUGAAAUCCUGGAGCUCAACUCCAGAACUGCCUUCGAUACUGGGAAUCUUGAGUCCGGAAGAGGUGAGUGGAACUGCGAGUGUAGAGGUGAAAUUCGUAGAUAUUCGCAAGAACACCAGUGGCGAAGGCGGCUCACUGGCCCGGAACUGACGCUGAGACGCGAAAGCGUGGGGAGCAAACAGG